CUUUUGCAACAACUGGAAGGUCAGUUGAGAAGCACUGUGUUUCCUCAAUUAAAAAACACACAGGUUUCUCUAUGCAUUUUACACUGAGUCAUUUGCACAAAUUUCACCUUUUAUUUCCACUUUAUUUUUUGCAGAUUUAAUGCAGGACUUAAAAAAAAAAAUGUGGAGCAGAGGUUCCUGUGUAUCUCCCAAGGGAUGCACGAGGAGCCAUCCACUGUGGCUAACUUCCAAAGAAGAAAAUCAGAUUAAAGCAUUCUUCUUCAAUUCAUUCUUCUUGCAAGAAACCUCCUGCACCAUCCUGACAUUGCUGCUUCAAAUUCUGCCAGGUGACUAAUGACUUCUCUCUGAGCACAACAAAUGUUCCAGCUGACCUCACUUCUCAAAAUGCAUCAUUCCUUCAAAUAAACGUCAUUAAACACAAGCA
rnacentral:lncRNA from 1 species